rnacentral:rRNA from 1 species
ACGCGAAGAACCUUACCUGGGUUCGAAAUGCAGUUGUAAGCCUCAGAGAUGAGGUCCCCUCUUCGGAGGCAGCUGUAUAGGUGCUGCAUGGCUGUCGUCAGCUCGUGUCGUGAGAUGUUGGGUUAAGUCCCGCAACGAGCGCAACCCUUGUCCAUAGUUGCUAACGCGUAGUGGCGAGAACUCUAUGGAGACUGCCGGUGAUAAACCGGAGGAAGGUGGGGAUGACGUCAAGUCCUCAUGGCCUUUAUGUCCAGGGCUACACACGUGCUACAAUGGACGGUACAAAGAGUCGCGAUCCCGCGAGGGGGAGCUAAUCUCAAAAAGCCGUUCUCAGUUCGGAUUGUUCUCUGCAACUCGAGAGCAUGAAGCUGGAAUCGCUAGUAAUCGCGGAUCAGCACGCCGCGGUGAAUACGUUCCCGGGCCUUGUA